rnacentral:rRNA from 1 species
UACGGAGGGUGCAAGCGUUAAUCGGAAUUACUGGGCGUAAAGCGUGCGUAGGCGGUUCGUUAAGUCUGCUGUGAAAGCCCCGGGCUCAACCUGGGAAUGGCAGUGGAUACUGGCGAGCUAGAGUGUGAUAGAGGAUGGUGGAAUUCCCGGUGUAGCGGUGAAAUGCGUAGAGAUCGGGGAGGAACACCAGUGGCGAAGGCGGCAUCCUGGACCGAGAUUGACGCUGAGGCGCGAAAGCUAGGGGAGCAAACAGG